AGUGAACGCUGGCGGUAGGCCUAACACAUGCAAGUCGAACGGCAGCACAGUAAGAGCUUGCUCUUACGGGUGGCGAGUGGCGGACGGGUGAGGAAUACAUCGGAAUCUACUUUUUCGUGGGGGAUAACGUAGGGAAACUUACGCUAAUACCGCAUACGACCUACGGGUGAAAGCAGGGGAUCUUCGGACCUUGCGCGAUUGAAUGAGCCGAUGUCGGAUUAGCUAGUUGGCGGGGUAAAGGCCCACCAAGGCGACGAUCCGUAGCUGGUCUGAGAGGAUGAUCAGCCACACUGGAACUGGGACACGGUCCAGACUCCUACGGGAGGCAGCAGUGGGGAAUAUUGGACAAUGGGCGCAAGCCUGAUCCAGCCAGACCGCGUGGGUGAAGAAGGCCUUCGGGUUGUAAAGCCCUUUUGUUGGGAAAGAAAAGCAGCAGGUUAAUACCCCGCUGUUCUGACGGUACCCAAAGAAUAAGCACCGGCUAACUUCGUG
rnacentral:rRNA from 1 species